AAAAACCCACCCCACCCACUUCCCACGACUCCCUCCCCUACCCUCUCCCGAUCCCCUCUGCACACUCCUCCUCACGGCAUCGCGUCGCCGCCGAAGAACUUCUCCCGAUCCACCGCCGCCGCCCUGCAUCCCACCGGCGCGCCGCCCUGCGUCCCGCAACCCGCCGCCGCGCCGUCCCCCGUCCCGCCAGCGCAACCAUGCCCCCAAGCUUUGCCUGCAUCCCGUGCUCAAGCCCGCCCGUGUACUCUGUUCGGGCAACGUGAAGUCGAGCGACGUGUACGCGAAGGUGCUGGUGUACCUGAGCGUGGUGUGCUCGCGGGAGGCGCGGGAGCUCCGCGCGGAGGGCGCUGCAGAGGGCCACGGCUUCGUGCUCAGCCUCCGGGAGGGGCAGUAGGUGGCGAACGACUUCAAGGGCGUCACCAUGUCGUGGUCGACGGUGGCGGAGGAGAAGACGACGUGGCGGGCAUCGGCGCGGUGCUGCCGCCUCAGGUUCUACGAGCGGCACCGCCAGCUCGUCGUCGAUGAGUACCUGCCGUACGGCAUGAGGUCACGUUCCGCAACCGUCCUUGCGGGCUCUACUCCAACAAGAAGGAGCUCAGCUACCAGCCUACCACUCUAGGAGGGACGAGGUGUGGAGCAGUCCAACUUCCCCUGUAUACUCACAUGAUCACUGGACACUCUGUUUCUUAGAGAAGAUGCUGCAACAUGAUUCAGCAAAUUGCUUUUGGAUGUUGUUAUUGUUACUGAAAUUUUGUGUGGGUGGACGUCUGGCUGCAUGUAUCCCUGCGUGUGUGUUUUUUACUUCCGCGCAUUUUCUUCAGGGUAGUGGAGAGCACCCUCUCCCUGACUAGAUCUGCAUCACCACCCUGAGUUCUCCCAACGCAGCCCGGAGCCGUUCAACUAUGCAGCCCUGGGCCGUUCAACGAUGGAGUCGACGGCCGUUCAUGAACACAGCACCCCGGAUCCUGCUCCCCACCAUCCAGUUCAACUUCUGCUGAAUCCGGUGUUGAUCCUGGUGCUUGUCGCCAUUUACGAGGAAGAUAGUCGGUCUUUGAGCUGGUGAUGAUCUUGCUGUUGCUGGGAUGCUAUUCAACACGAGGGUGUGGUCUCCCUUGAGGUGCAACGUCGUGAUAUAUAUACAUUGCUGCCACUUUUGGAUUUAUUGUUGAGACGGUCUCUCAAGUGACGACAAGGACACACCACUCUGCCUCCUCUGUUUUCGGUGACGACACACCGCUGUUAUGGUCGAUUAGCCUUUUGGGUUUAGAUGUACGAGGUGUAUGAUGAAGAUGAGACAGUGUAGUGAAGUCCAUUUGGACAUGUGAAAUUCAGUGAGGCAUAAGAAAGGAAUAAGAUCUAGCAGCGGAUGUUGCCGACCUCGACUAGUGGUUGCCGGAUUUCGUGUUUCUUCUGUAUAGAACUGAUGCAUUUCUUCUCUUCUUUCUGCAGUUUUGUUAACUGAACCUAAACCAUCUCGACUGAUUGAACUGCACAGAACUUAAUGGGAGGUCGCGCGAGGUGGCUCGAGCAGGCGGUGCAGCAGUUCGUUGCAGCCCCUCGAUGCCGUUGAACUCCUGCAUCUAGCUACCUCAAAGCCAACAGUGAUCUCCUACUCCGACUCCGGUGUGCACGUAGCUUUUGGGCAUGUGCCGAUGUGUGGCUGAAGCUCUUUCUUUCUCUACAUAGUCUCAUAUGCUGAUGUUGCCCUCUCUCCAUAGGUCGAGUGAAAAAUUAGUAGUAGGACGAACACAAAUGCUUUUCUACAGGAACACAAAAAUGACCGUGCUACUUGCCACAAAACAUAAUAAAAGGCUCAAUAUGUUUUUGAAAAAGAAAAAUCAAACAGACGUUUGAAAAUGGGCAGCAGAAGUUCAUGUCGAACUAACGGGGCAAUUCAACAUU